CAUGUAGGUGGCUUUUCAAGUCAACUGUGAAAGCCCAGGGCCUAACCCUGGAAGUGCAGUUGAUACUGUUGAGCUUGAGUACGAGAGAGGAUAGUGGAAUUCCUGGUGUAGUGGUGAAAUACGUAGAUAUCAGGAGGAACAUCGGUGGCGAAGGCGGCUAUCUGGCUCGAUACUGACACUGAGAUGACGAAAGCGUGGGGAUCAAACA
rnacentral:rRNA from 1 species